rnacentral:rRNA from 1 species
AGUGAACGCUGGCGGUAGGCCUAACACAUGCAAGUCGAACGGCAGCACAGUAAGAGCUUGCUCUUACGGGUGGCGAGUGGCGGACGGGUGAGGAAUACAUCGGAAUCUACUUUUUCGUGGGGGAUAACGUAGGGAAACUUACGCUAAUACCGCAUACGACCUACGGGUGAAAGCAGGGGAUCUUCGGACCUUGCGCGAUUGAAUGAGCCGAUGUCGGAUUAGCUAGUUGGCGGGGUAAAGGCCCACCAAGGCGACGAUCCGUAGCUGGUCUGAGAGGAUGAUCAGCCACACUGGAACUGAGACACGGUCCAGACUCCUACGGGAGGCAGCAGUGGGGAAUAUUGGACAAUGGGCGCAAGCCUGAUCCAGCCAUACCGCGUGGGUGAAGAAGGCCUUCGGGUUGUAAAGCCCUUUUGUUGGGAAAGAAAAGCAGCAGGUUGAUACCCCGCUGUUCUGACGGUACCCAAAGAAUAAGCACCGGCUAACUUCGCG